ensembl:misc_RNA Metazoa_SRP Metazoan signal recognition particle RNA
GCUGGGCAUGGUGGCACAUGCCUGUAGUCCCAGCUACUCUGGAGGCUGAGGUGGGAGGAUUGCUUGAACCUGGGAGGUAGGAGUUGUAGUGAGCUGAGACAGUGCCACAGCACUCCUGCCUAGGUGACAAAGCAAGACUCCAUCUUAA